AAAUUGAAGAGUUUGAUCAUGGCUCAGAUUGAACGCUGGCGGCAGGCCUAACACAUGCAAGUCGAACGGUAACAGGAAGCAGCUUGCUGUUUCGCUGACGAGUGGCGGACGGGUGAGUAAUGUCUGGGAAACUGCCUGAUGGAGGGGGAUAACUACUGGAAACGGUGGCUAAUACCGCAUAACGUCGCAAGACCAAAGAGGGGGACCUUCGGGCCUCUUGCCAUCAGAUGUGCCCAGAUGGGAUUAGCUAGUUGGUGAGGUAACGGCUCACCAAGGCGACGAUCCCUAGCUGGUCUGAGAGGAUGACCAGCCACACUGGAACUGAGACACGGUCCAGACUCCUACGGGAGGCAGCAGUGGGGAAUAUUGCACAAUGGGCGCAAGCCUGAUGCAGCCAUGCCGCGUGUAUGAAGAAGGCCUUCGGGUUGUAAAGUACUUUCAGCGGGGAGGAAGGUGUUG
rnacentral:rRNA from 2 species